CUGACAGCCUACAGUACACCAAUCGGGGAAAUUCUGAAAAGGCCAGCUCUACUUGGAGUUAGGAAGGGCCAACCAGUAGGAACUUCCUGGGCACGAUGUGUGGCUUGAGUUAUGUUCCUAAGUGUCCAUGAGCUCAGAAGGUUUCUCUCGGGGCAUUCUGGAACCAGGACUUAGUGCGAGACCAGAGGAGGCAGAUUCCUUACCACUGAGCCACCAGGGAAGCCUCAAGAUCAUCUUAUUUUAAGGAAAUGUGACCAAGGCCCUUGCAGACUGACAUGUGCCUCCCUUCCUCCAGGCUGGCCAAGCCCCACUCCAGUCUAACCUCCAUGCUCUUUUGAAGGAAUCAGAAGGCAGACAAGAAAGUG
ensembl:lncRNA